UCUCAGCUGUGUGGUUUCCUGCAGAGUCCACUCUGUGGUCUGCAGACACUGUGGUUGUGGAACUGCAGCCUGUCAGAGAUCAGCUGUUCUUCUUUAGCCUCAGCUCUGAAGUCCAACCCCUCCCACCUGAGGGAGCUCCACCUGGAUUACAACCAACUGCAGGCUCCAAAUGUGCAGCAGCUGGUUGAUUUUGAAGAUAAUCCAGUCUUCAGCCUGCAGACUCUGAGCUGGGAGAAGAACUGAGAGUAGAGAGGAGGCUGUGAGUCCUGAAGAUCAUCUGAUAGCAUCCUGCACAUAGGAGAUGCCAGAGAAGAUGGGCAAAAUGCGGAGGAGUAUGGAUCUGGGUUGCAGCUCACCUGAGAUAUGUUCAUUGAUCUCCUCUUUCUGGAUGUUCCCUCCACCCUGCACUGGAGAAUGACUAGAGACCGAUGGAUCUGACUGGUGCUUCCUCAUCCUAGCAGCUCUGACAGCGUCAGCUGCUCAGCAGACCCUGAUCCGCUGUUGCCUCCAACCAGCUGGCAUGUUCGAACUGGGAGAUGUGGCAUGGACUGUCAGAACCUCCAUACUCUAAAGCAGGGGUAUGCAACUAAAAUUCACAGAGGUCCAGUCAGAGAUAACUUGUUCAAGCAAAGAUCUGAAACACCAUAAUGUCGAACUGAAUUAGUAUGAUAUAUGCUGAUGUAACCUAGUAGUUCUAUGAGCCUCUGCAUGUAAUAGCUGACUAUCAAAUCAAAUGAAUUCAGUACGGUUCAAAAACAUUUAGAAAACAUUUAUUAAUAAAUAACUUGCAGAAUGUGAAAAAAUAAUGUCUGAACAACAUGAACCAACAUGCAUCUGCACAAAUCUCAAAAUGACGUCUUGGAUUUUAAACCACUUUCAAAAAACAAAAGCUUCAGUAUGCUGAGCCACAGGAGGAAAACUGGCAAUUGAAGAACUGAACUAUUUUUGCAUAAGUCGUUUUCUUUUUGAGAAAACUUCAGAUUGAGGCGGUCAGACAAACAUCUUCUUGUUGACAUCUCUAACUGAACAACCUGAACCAACGUUUAUACUUCUUUCAGAGUGACAUGAAAAAAAUCAUAUCAAAGGGGGGUUGUUGGGGUUAAACUUUUAUUUCCACACUUGUCAUGAUGAGUAAAGGGAACAGUCAUAUCAACUGCACUUCAGGCCAUGGUUAUAUGGAUUACAGUCAGGUCGGCACCAAUCCAAGUCAGUCCUGGCCAACUCGACACCGCCCCCAGGAUACAGUCAAGUCGGCAUCAAGUCAAGUCGGCAUCGAGCCAAGUUGGUAUCUAGCCAAAUCGGCCUCGCGGAGGGGGGGGGGCUCUCAAGUGGCCGAGUUGGCUUAAUGCCGACUUGACUGUAAGCUGCUUACCAACUCGGCCAAAAGCCUCUUAUUUUUUUUAAAAUCACGAUGCUGGCAGCAGCGCGACAAUUUGCACAGUUUUUUUUUUUUUUUGUGCGCCGCUUCUCGUCACAUAGCAGGCGGGGAACUGGAGGACAAACUGUGAUUAUGGUGACUGACAGGUUAGAGGUGGAGAAUGUACCUGGAGCUUCAUGUUUGAUGUUCUGUUUGAACCGAGUAGCUUAGCUACGAGUGCGUAGCUACGAGUGGCUGUCUGGUCAUGUGACCAGAUCAUGUGACCAGGUGGCGUUUGAUCAAACCAGUCGCCUGCAUUAUCAUUAUAACUGUGCAAAUUCUGGUGCUGAUGCCGGCUGCGGAGUGACAACAUGCUGAGACGAUGUGGUUGAACAGGGACAUCACAGGAUGCAUCACAUCUUUUCAGGAGGGAUCACCAUCUGUCCUUCAGACGGCCAGAUGUUCUCUCCACUGUCCUGGCCAGACUGAGUCGCUGGUCGAAUUUUGAUAGAUGGUCAGCUUGGUUGACACACACUGUUAAUUCAGGAAACAGACUGUAUAAAAUGUGUUCCUACAAAGACUCUUGUUUAGCUAAACGGCUCUAAACUGUUUCUCCUCCAUUCUCUCUUGUCACUAUAUCUAUUUAUGUCUACUGCUACUUGCUGGUUCUGUUCUCGGCUGUGAAAAGCUGGAUAUAAUUUCUUUUGGACAUUUGAAGACAUUGGUCAGUGAGACGAGUCAGAGACACACUGGACCCUUCACACACUUCCUGCUCACUGAUCAGAGCUCAGGCAGGUCUUCAGUGAUCGAUGUGACGCUGCAGGAUGAACCUGGAGUCACUUCACUGCUCACUGACUGAGUGUUGUGAGGGAGCUGCAGGCUUCUCUCUGACUGUUAGAAGGACAGAAAUGAUUUGAUUCAGUGGCUGUGAUCAGAACCAUUUCAGCCCAAAUGAUCAAUGAGCACAGUCAGACUGAAUGAUGAGGGCUGUGUGUCAGUCAGCCAGAGAGCAGAUAAAGCAGGAGAUCCCAGCAGAUUAUGAUAAGGAGCAUCUGGAGCCAUGGAGCUCUUUCUGGACACACUUCUCUGUUUUACUGCAAUAAAAUGAAGUGAAGAACUCUUCCUGCUUCACUGAGCUCCACAAACCUCCAUUCUUCACCAAGGAGUGCCACAUCGGAGCAUCGGAGCAGGACGGCUGGCCGUGUCCCUGUGUUGGACACACAUUGGACAGCAGCCAUGAAGGAUCAGUCCACAGCCUGCAGCAGAAGUAGGACAUGUUGCAGUGUGUGGAUCAGGAUCACUGGGUUGGACUGCCAGAUGUGUUUUAGAGUGACUGAUUGGUCAGUCAGCAACAUUCACCCUGACUGGACUCACUGUCCAUCAGACACACCCCCUCCUCCUGGAGCCCAGCCAGGCUCUCCAGCCACACCUGGGUACCUGCUCUUAUGUACAAAGUAAACCCUCUGAACCCCCGCCCCACGUCCAGACCCCUGGUACUCCAAAGUCUAUAUGGUAUCAUGAUUCUUCCACUCAUGAGCUUUCUUUUACGGUAAAAUGUGGUUUUCAUGAUAAAAGACAAAACAAUUCAACAUAAUAGAUGUCAUGAUGAAAUUCAGUCUCCUGGUUAUUUAGCAGACAGUAACCCUGCUGUCACUUUCCAGAUGUAGUAACUGACUGAUGAUGUUUGAAGCCAGGACCUCCUGCUGGUGAGACAGGCUCUCUGAGCAGCUGAGCCACAGCGCCUCCUUCAGCAUGGUUUUAGUGCUGCACUACCUGGCUGUCAGAUGGACCAUCAGCCAUCAAACCCCCAUGAACAGAAAACACCUGACCUGGACCAGUGAUGGAUCCACUUCCAUCAAUACUGACCUCCAGCAAGCAGCCACACUCCACACGGGUUUUUUGGCCAGUGGGAAAGGGGUACAAGAGACACUCAGCCUCUAUUCAUGAGGUUGAUGAUAUUGAUGUAAGACAUAGAACUUGGAGAUGCUGGUGAUUGAACCUAGGAACUCCUACAAGCAAAGCAGGCGCUCUACCACUGAGCUACAUCCCGUUUCCUCCACCUGCUCUGCUGGUUCUGACUGAAGUGAAUCAGCUCAGUGAGUCCAGGAGGAAAACUCCUGAGAACCUGUUCCUUUCUCAGCAGGACAGUCUGGACUGUGGAGUGUGGCUGCUUGCUGGAGGUCAGUAUUGAUGGAAGUGGAUCAGGUUCAGAAUAUUUAUUAUCAUUGUCAUAGAACAAUGAAAUUGCGUUUGGAGCAUCCAUACAACAGAAUUGGUAACGUGCAAACCUCACACCACUAAAUAUCAUAAAUAGCCCAGUGCAAUGACGUCGAUGCAGCGUGGCUACAUUAGCGCGCUAGUUGUUGUUGCUGGACACAGCGUGGGAUUUCCUUCGUCAACAUGACCCUGUAUUGGCAAGAUAGCGAGACCAGAGAGCUUCCCCUGAUCCGUGGGGAAGAGGAGAUUCGUCU